GCGGGAAUAGCUCAGUUGGUAGAGUACGACCUUGCCAAGGUCGGGGUCGCGAGUUCGAAUCUCGUUUCCCGCUCCA
rnacentral:tRNA from 1 species